rnacentral:rRNA from 1 species
GAUGAACGCUGGCGGCGUGCCUAAUACAUGCAAGUCGAGCGAACAGAUGAGGCGCUUGCUCCUCUGACGUUAGCGGCGGACGGGUGAGUAACACGUGGAUAACCUACCUAUAAGACUGGGAUAACUUCGGGAAACCGGAGCUAAUACCGGAUAAUAUAUUGAACCGCAUGGUUCAAUAGUGAAAGACGGUUUUGCUGUCACUUAUAGAUGGAUCCGCGCCGCAUUAGCUAGUUGGUAAGGUAACGGCUUACCAAGGCAACGAUGCGUAGCCGACCUGAGAGGGUGGUAGGCCACACUGGAACUGAGACACGCUCCAGACUCCUACGGGAGGCAGCAGUAGGGAAUCGUACGCAAUGGGCGAAAGCCUGACGGAGCAACGCCGCGUGAGUGAUGAAGGUCUUCGGAUCGUAAAACUCUGUUAUUAGGGAAGAACAAAUGUGUAAGUAACUAUGCACGUCUUGACGGUACCUAAUCAGAAAGCCACGGCUAACUACGUG